UACGUAGGGGGCUAGCGUUGUCCGGAAUCAUUGGGCGUAAAGCGCGCGUAGGCGGCCAGAUAAGUCCGGUGUGAAAGUCACAGGCUCAACCUGUGAAUGCCGCUGGAAACUGUCUGGCUAGAGUCCGGAAGGGGCGAGUGGAAUUCCUGGUGUAGCGGUGAAAUGCGUAGAUAUCAGGAGGAACACCGGUGGCGAAGGCGGCCCUCUGGACGGUGACUGACGCUGAGACGCGAAAGCGUGGGGAGCAAACAGG
rnacentral:rRNA from 1 species